UACGUAGGGGGCCAGCGUUGGCUCGGAAUUACUGGGCGUAAAGGGUCCGUAGGCGGUCGUAGCAAGUCGAUAGUGAAAUCUCUGGGCUUAACCCAGACGGCUGCUAACGAAAACUGCUGUGCUAGAGUGUGAGAGAGGCGAGUGGAAUUACGGGUGUAGCGGUGAAAUGCGUAGAUAUCCGUAGGAACAUCCGAGGCGAAGGCGGCUCGCUGGAUCACAACUGACGCUGAGGGACGAAAGCUAGGGGAGCAAACAGG
rnacentral:rRNA from 1 species